rnacentral:rRNA from 1 species
UACGUAGGGCGCAAGCGUUAUCCGGAAUUAUUGGGCGUAAAGAGCUCGUAGGCGGUUUGUCGCGUCUGCCGUGAAAGUCCGGGGCUCAACUCCGGAUCUGCGGUGGGUACGGGCAGACUAGAGUGAUGUAGGGGAGACUGGAAUUCCUGGUGUAGCGGUGAAAUGCGCAGAUAUCAGGAGGAGCACCGAUGGCGAAGGCAGGUCACUGGGCCGCAACUGACGCUGAGGAGCGAAAGCAUGGGGAGCGAACAGG